GACGAACGCUGGCGGCGUGCUUAACACAUGCAAGUCGAACGGAAAGGCCCUGCUUGCAGGGUACUCGAGUGGCGAACGGGUGAGUAACACGUGGGUGAUCUGCCCUGCACUUCGGGAUAAGCCUGGGAAACUGGGUCUAAUACCGGAUAGGAGCCAUUUUUAGUUUGAUGGUUGGAAAGUUUUUUCGGUGUAGGUUGAGCUCGCGGCCUAUCAGCUUGUUGGUGGGGUAAUGGCCUACCAAGGCGGCGACGGGUAGCCGGCCUGAGAGGGUGGACGGCCACAUUGGGACUGAGAUACGGCCCAGACUCCUACGGGAGGCAGCAGUGGGGAAUAUUGCACAAUGGGCGCAAGCCUGAUGCAGCGACGCCGCGUGGGGGAUGACGGCCUUCGGGUUGUAAACUCCUUUCGCUAGGGACGAAGCUUUUUGUGACGGUACCUAGAUAAGAAGCACCGGCUAACUACGUG
rnacentral:rRNA from 1 species